GGCAGAUCCGGAACUAGAAUCCAGGUCUCGAUGAAUAUCCAUCCUGUUCCAUACCCUCAGGAGGCACUCAUAGAUGGUUCAAAUGCUAUCUCCUCCCCUUAUUCGCUGUGUGACACAGAGAAAGCCGUUCCAUCUCCCUAAGUGAAUUUUCUCACGCGCAAAUGAGAGAACAGAAUCUACCAACAGCAACGUCGUGAGAAGUAAAUGAGAUGAGGAAAGCCAAUCAAUCGCCUGGCACUACGUCUGGCACAUGGUGGGUGAGCACCUAGUAAUUAUGGGUUCCCUUCACCUGCCCACUCGGUCCCACAAGCCUCAGGGUUCACCCACUACACCCAUGCGACAGGGUAUCCACUCCGCCAGAGGCCCGCACGCGGCCUCUGGGUUUCACAGGCCCGUGGACAGCCGCACUGUCAUACCUGCAUGGAGUCAGCGCUGACGAUUUCGCCACCGAGCCGCUGGCCUAGCUGCAACGCCAGGGUGGAUUUGCCGGUGCCGGUCGCCCCAAGAAUCACUACAAGAGGCAGUGUCCGUUGCAGACCCCGUAGCCCGGAACCCACAGAAACUGCUCGUGCAACCGCUACCGCCGCCAUCUUGAAGCUAUCUGCGCUUGUGCAGGAGCAGCUGUCCCCAUGGCAACCGUCAGUGCGCCUGCGCAGACCUAGGACUCCGUUAGGAUGAGUGGAGAGGUGGGAGCGGCGCGACCAAGGCUUCUGAGCUUGAGAGGCUCUCGACCUGACUGCCCUCAACUAGCUGGUGCCAGCGCCUCAACUCUCUCUUCUCCCCUCUUUGUUGUUUUAACAACUGGUAAUCAAUUUAUUAAAAAGAUUUUUUUAA